rnacentral:rRNA from 1 species
UACGGGAGGCAGCAGUGGGGAAUAUUGCACAAUGGGCGCAAGCCUGAUGCAGCCAUGCCGCGUGUAUGAAAAGGCCUUCGGGUUGUAAAGUACUUUCUAGUCGUGAGGAAGGUGUUAAGGUUAAUAACCUUAGCAAUUGACGUUAGCGACAGAAGAAGCACCGGCUAACUCCGUGCCAGCAGCCGCGGUAAUACGGAGGGUGCGAGCGUUAAUCGGAAUUACUGGGCGUAAAGGGCACGCAGGCGGUUAAUUAAGUUGGAUGUGAAAUCCCCGGGCUUAACCUGGGAAUGGCAUUCAAGACUGGUUAGCUAGAGUCUUGUAGAGGGGGGUAGAAAUUCCAUGUGUAGCGGUGAAAUGCGUAGAGAUGUGGAGGAAAUACCGGUGGCGAAGGCGGCCCCCUGGACAAAAGACUGACGCUCAUGUGCGAAAGCGUGGGGAGCAAAACAGGGAUAGAU